AUUGAACGCUGGCGGCAUGCCUUACACGUGCAAGUCGAACGGUAACAGGUCUUUCGGGAUGCUGACGAGUGGCGAACGGGUGAGUAAUACAUCGGAACGUGCCUAGUAGUGGGGGAUCACUACUCGAAAGAGUGGCUAAUACCGCAUGAGAUCUAUGGAUGAAAGCAGGGGACCUUCGGGCCUUGUGCUACUAAAGCGGCCGAUGGCAGAUUAGGUAGUUGGUGGGAUAAAAGCUUACCAAGCCUACGAUCUGUAGCUGGUCUGAGAGGACGAUCAGCCACACUGGGACUGAGACACGGCCCAGACUCCUACGGGAGGCAGCAGUGGGGAAUUUUGGACAAUGGGCGCAAGCCUGAUCCAGCAAUGCCGCGUGCAGGAUGAAGGCCUUCGGGUUGUAAACUGCUUUUGUACGGAACGAAAAGUCUUGGGUUAAUACCCUGGGAUCAUGACGGUACCGUAAGAAUAAGCACCGGCUAACUACGUGCCAGCCGCCGCGGUAAAAC
rnacentral:rRNA from 1 species